UUAACCAUUAGUUUACUAUUGGAGCGGUUAGUGGCGGACUGGUGAGUAACACGUAAGCAACCUGCCUAUCAGAGGGGAACAACAGUUAGAAAUGACUGCUAAUACCGCAUAUACCCAAGUGUCACAUGGCACAAUGGGGAAAGGAGCAAUCCGCUGAUAGAUGGGCUUGCGUCUGAUUAGCUAGUUGGUGGGGUAACGGCCCACCAAGGCGACGAUCAGUAGCCGGACUGAGAGGUUAACCCCCACAUUGGUACUGAGACACGGUCCAAACUCC
rnacentral:rRNA from 1 species